rnacentral:lncRNA from 1 species
GGGAGAGAGCUGAGGGGAGGAAGCCACUGGAUUGAACCCAGGGCCUCUGAAGUGAGGUAGUUACCAAGGCUGGCCUUGAACCUGCAACCACCCUGCCUCAGCCUUCCCAGCUGCCAAGAUUACAUGCACCAUACUUAGCUUUUCAGUAUGAUCCUCAAAUGUUGGCUGACUGCAGACUAGCUACCUCUUGGCAACAGGGAUCGAACUCAGGACCUUGAACUCACCAGCCAGGCAUGGUGCCACUAAGCUACAUCCCUGGCCCUGUUUGUAAUUCUUUUAGAACAUGACAUUUCUCUGACCCAAUUCCAAAUUAUGACACACAUCCAAUUGAAUCCUGCAGCCUCUACACUCUGCUUACAACCUGGCCUUCAAGUGUCUAGAGUCCUUUCAUUCUAGAUCCCAGGGAAGGUUUCCCUGGCAAGAAUCUCUGUCAUCCAGUUCCUGAAUUCCUGCACCUAGAAAAAGAAGACAAUGUUUGCAGUGAUGUCCUAGAUCUGUCUUUUGCCAUCUGGCAGAUAGCCCGAUACCAUCUGGCAAAUCAAGGAUGAUGUCAAACAGUCUAGGGCCUUCCCUUCCAAUCUUCUGUUUCUACAUUUGUUAGAACUUUGAGUGUGGAAAGUAUGAGAAUAUCCUAACC